UGGACCGGUGAUGAGCAACAUGGGGGUAUCUGAAACAGGAGUUCUGAUUAAACCCACACGCAACUCUGAGGUCCAC